rnacentral:rRNA from 1 species
CCCUUAGAUGUUCUGGGCCGCACGCGCGCUACACUGACACACUCAGCGAGUCUCUGAUCCGAGAGGACCAGGUAAUCAUGUGAGCGUGUGUCGUGAUGGGGAUAGAAUAUUGUAAUUAUUGUUCUUCAACGAGGAAUUCCUAGUAAGCGCAAGUCAGCAGCUUGCGCUGAUUACGUCCCUGCCCUUUGUACACACCGCCCGUCGCUCCUACCGAUUGAGUGGUCCGGUGAGGCUUUGGGAUCUAAGCGAAAAGAGCGUUUCGCUCCUUUUGCUGGGAGAACUCAGUCGAACCUUAUCAUUUAGAGGAAGGAGAAGUCGUAACA